GGCUUGUUGGUCUAGAGGUAUGGUUCUCACUGAUGGUGUAAGAGGUCCUGGAUUCAAAUUCUGGAUGAGCCC